UUAGCAAGAUUCGUCUUGCAUUAAACUAUAGAGACCGCUGUUUCUUCUUUAAACCAGAGGAAGGAUACGGCAAUAACAGGUCUGUGAUGCCCUCAGAUGUUCCGGGCUGCACACGUGCUACAAUGAUCAUUGCACUGUGCAUCUAACCCAAUGUGCGCGGACGCCGCCGUGCGUAUAUACUUUAUUGUGUAUGCGUAUCGUGCGUGCGACCGCGCCGAACCUGCUUCGAAAGUAAACAUUUCCAGCGGGUAAUCCAUUAGAAGUAAUGACUCGCAUAGACCAUGGCACACUAUAUGUACCCGCGGGUUCUACCCGGCUCGCCUUUGUGUGAGUGCAGUGCGUAGCUCGUUGUUUGGUACGUGCCACUCCGUAUUAAUUCAUACGUGGGGAUAGAUCAUUGUUUAAUUGUUGGUCUCGGUCUUAACUAGGAAUGCCUUGUACGGGU
rnacentral:rRNA from 1 species